rnacentral:rRNA from 1 species
AGUGGAUGGGGAGCAACCUAGUUGUGCGUGUGUAAAGGUAGUGCCAAGAAUCGAUGAUCAUGUUGAAAAUCAAUUCCCGGUACCCGAAACCGACACAGGUGGGCAAGUAGAGAAUACUAAGGGGCGCGAGGUAACUCUCUCCAAGGAACUCGGCAAAAUGACCCCGUAACUUAGGGAGAAGGGGUGCCACCGAGAGGUGGUCGCAGUGAAGAGGCCCAGGCGACUGUUUAGCAAAAACAUAGGUCUCUGCAAACUCGAAAGAGGAGGUAUAGGGGCUGACGCCUGCCCAGUGCCGGAAGGUUAAAGAAGUUGGUCAGUCUUAGGAUGAAGCUAGCGACUGAAGCCCCGGUGAACGGCGGCCGUAACUAUAACGGUCCUAAGGUAGCGAAAUUCCUUGUCGGGUAAGUUCCGACCCGCACGAAAGGCGUAACGAUCUGGGCGCUGUCUCGGAGAGAGGCUCGGCGAAAUAGGAUUGUCUGUGAAGAUACGGACUACCUGCAUUUGGACAGAAAGACCCUAUGAAGCUUUACUAUAGCUUGGAAUUGUGUUCGGGCUUCCUGUGCGCAGGAUAGGUGGGAGGCGUAGAAGGUAUUCUUGUGGGGAUACUGGAGCCAACGGUGAGAUACCACUCUCAGGAGGCUAGAAUUCUAACUUAAUUAAGGACAGUUUCAGGUGGGUAGUUUGACUGGGGCGGUCGCCUCCAAAAAGGUAACGGAGGCGUACAAAGGUUCCCUCAGACUGGUUGGAAAUCAGUCGAAGAGUGCAAAGGCAGAAGGGAGCUUGACUGCGAGAAGUACAGUUCGAGCAGGGUGGAAACACGGUCUUAGUGAUCCGACGGUGCUGUGUGGAAGGGCCGUCGCUCAACGGAUAAAAGUUACUCUAGGAUAACAGGCUGAUCUCCCCCAAGAGUUCACAUCGACGGGGAGGUUUGGCACCUCGAUGUCGGCUCAUCGCAACCUGGGGCGGAAGUACGUCCCAAGGGUUGGGCUGUUCGCCCAUUAAAGCGGUACGUGAGCUGGGUUCAGAACGUCGUGAGACAGUUCGGUCCAUAUCCGAUGUAGGCGUGAGAAUAUUGAGAGGAGCCUUCCUUAGUACGAGAGGACCGGGAAGGACGCACCGCUGGUGUACCUGUUAUGAUGCCAAUUGUAAACGCAGGGUAGCCAAGUGCGGAGAGGAUAACCGCUGAAAGCAUCUAAGUGGGAAGCCCACCUCAAGAUGAGUAUUCUGGUGUAAGGUCACGGGAAGACGACCCGUAAAUAGGCACGAGGUGGAAGUGCAGAGAUGUAUGAAGCCGAAGUGUACUAAUAGACCGUCGGCUUGAC